CGAGCGUCAUUACAACCCUCAAGCUUAGCUUGGUCUUGGGCUUCGCCACUUACCUGGCGGGCCUUAAAAUCAGUGGCGGUGCCCUCGAGGCCCUGAGCGUAGUAAAUAUCCUCGCUAUAGGGACCCGGCGGUUACUGGCCAUCAACCCCCAACUUUCUAAGUUUGACCUCGGAUCAGGUAGGGAUACCCGCUGAACUUAA
rnacentral:misc_RNA from 1 species